rnacentral:lncRNA from 1 species
AGACAGCCCAACUCACAGCCCAUGAGGGGCCCUGAGUACUGCCUCUGACCUCUCUAUGGCAAGCCAAAUGGCCAUGGGAAGACCCCAUGGAGUGUCAAAAUGAUGCCGUUGAGGGCAAGGAUUUUAGACCGGUCAUGGAUUCUGCCUGUGCACUGGGCUCUACCACUUUCUAGCUAUCUGGCUACCAGCAAGUUACCUUAACAGUCUAAGUUUCAACCUCCCCAUUCGUGAAAUGGAGAUAACGUCUUAGUCAUAGGGGUUGCAAGUCUACUGCAUAUUAAGAGUGUAGCACUAAGCCUGGCUCUUCGUAAGUAUUCACUUCCCUUCCUAGACCAGUGACUUCUGUUCAAUCUGAUGGAAUAUUCCUUGCCAGUCUGCCAGCUGAAUGCUGCAAUUCUCCUCUGCCUGCCAGGUAAUAUAUU